CGCCUGUUCAGCCAAGGUCAGGAUGCAGUUAAGUGGUUCGUACAAGGCCCUAUCUGUUAGGGAAGUGUGGGGAGCAGUUAUUUGUUGCUAAGCAACAUCUACCAUGAGCACUGAGGCUACUUGUGUGCAUAUCCACAGUUUAAUCCUGUGUUUAUGCAUGCCCAAGACACCGAAGAGCUAACACAAAGCAGCCACACUCUAAAGCAUGUUCUAGAGGUCUAACUCGGGUCACACCAAGUACUCACUCUACCCCCAGCUACUACCUGCUCUUCACCAGCCUCCUCUCAUGGCUUGAAACCCACGAUGUGAGGCAUGGAUAACCAUGGGAUCUUUAAUGUGAGGCCUCUUCAAUUCUGCAACAGCCCAAUCUUCACAGAAGAGCAGAGCCAUGGUGACCUAUGAGACAAGAAAAGCAGGACCGGGGCUGGGGAGACUGCCCCGCAGUUAAGAGCACUGGCUGCUCCUCCAAGAGGAGCAGGGUUCCAUUCCCAGCACAGGUGGCUUCCAGGAGUUAAGUUAACCAUCUUAACUCCAGUUCCAGGGCGUCCAAUGUCUUUCUGUGGCCUCCACAGCACCAGACAUGCUCAUGGUAGACAGACACAGACAAAACGCCCAUAAGAAUACAACACAAAUACAUUUUUAAAAAGAA
rnacentral:lncRNA from 1 species